UGCAGUCGAGCGGUAAGGCCCUUCGGGGUACACGAGCGGCGAACGGGUGAGUAACACGUGGGUGAUCUGCCUCGCACUUCGGGAUAAGCCUGGGAAACUGGGUCUAAUACCGGAUAUGACCUUUCAGUGCAUGCUGUUGGGUGGAAAGAUUUAUCGGUGCGAGAUGGGCCCGCGGCCUAUCAGCUUGUUGGCGGGGUAACGGCCCACCAAGGCGACGACGGGUAGCCGACCUGAGAGGGUGACCGGCCACACUGGGACUGAGACACGGCCCAGACUCCUACGGGAGGCAGCAGUGGGGAAUAUUGCACAAUGGGCGGAAGCCUGAUGCAGCGACGCCGCGUGAGGGAUGACGGCCUUCGGGUUGUAAACCUCUUUCGACAGGGACGAAGCGCAAGUGACGGUACCUGUAGAAGAAGCACCGGCCAACUACGUGCCAGCAGCCGCGGUAAUACGUAGGGUGCGAGCGUUGUCCGGAAUUACUGGGCGUAAAGAGCUUGUAGGCGGUUUGUCGCGUCGUCCGUGAAAACUUGGGGCUCAACCCCAAGCUUGCGGGCGAUACGGGCAGACUUGAGUACUUCAGGGGAGACUGGAAUUCCUGGUGUAGCGGUGAAAUGCGCAGAUAUCAGGAGGAACACCGGUGGCGAAGGCGGGUCUCUGGGAAGUAACUGACGCUGAGAAGCGAAAGCGUGGGUAGCGAACAGGAUUAGAUACCCUGGUAGUCCACGCCGUAAACGGUGGGUACUAGGUGUGGGUUUCCUUCCACGGGAUCCGUGCCGUAGCUAACGCAUUAAGUACCCCGCCUGGGGAGUACGGCCGCAAGGCUAAAACUCAAAGGAAUUGACGGGGGCCCGCACAAGCGGCGGAGCAUGUGGAUUAAUUCGAUGCAACGCGAAGAACCUUACCUGGGUUUGACAUACACCGGAAACCUGCAGAGAUGUAGGCCCCCUUGUGGUCGGUGUACAGGUGGUGCAUGGCUGUCGUCAGCUCGUGUCGUGAGAUGUUGGGUUAAGUCCCGCAACGAGCGCAACCCUUGUCCUGUGUUGCCAGCGCGUAAUGGCGGGGACUCGCAGGAGACUGCCGGGGUCAACUCGGAGGAAGGUGGGGACGACGUCAAGUCAUCAUGCCCCUUAUGUCCAGGGCUUCACACAUGCUACAAUGGCCGGUACAGAGGGCUGCGAUACCGUGAGGUGGAGCGAAUCCCUUAAAGCCGGUCUCAGUUCGGAUCGGGGUCUGCAACUCGACCCCGUGAAGUUGGAGUCGCUAGUAAUCGCAGAUCAGCAACGCUGCGGUGAAUACGUUCCCGGGCCUUGUACACACCGCCCGUCACGUCAUGAAAGUCGGUAACACCCGAAGCCGGUGGCCUAACCCAUGUGGA
rnacentral:rRNA from 1 species